UAUAUUAAGUAUUAAGGUCAGUAGGUGUACUUUACUGGUUUGCAAUAUUAUCCGAAAUCGGUUAAGCACCUACUGACCGUGGUGCUUACGCUAUUUUUUGCACGAUCAAUUUAUAAUUGAUAUAAACUAAAUUCGAAUGUAUCAAUGUGGUAGCAUCACAAUGGGUUCAGUAAUUUUUUGUGGGUUGCUACAGUUACGUUUCUGUUUUUGAAAACAAAACAACACGUGCGCGAAACGUGGUUUGGUUGAGACUAAGUGAACAUACCUAAAUGAUUCAGAAGAUUUCGAAAUAGAAGAUGCAUGGAGUAUUGGCUGCGCAUCGAUCAUUCCCGAAAAAUUUAAAAGUAGAUAUGAAGCCGCAUAUGAUUCUUUCCUUAAAUGGUGUGAAAGUAAAUGUCAAACUGACAUAAGUGAAAAAAUUGUGUUAGCAUAUUUUGUUCAACGUAGUGAAGGAUUGAAAUGGCUUAUGGUGUGAUUAUUCCAUGUUGAAAAUAUGAUUAUUCUAAGAAGGUGUGUUGAUAUUUCUAAAUACAGUACGCUGAUAGCAUUUUUGAAAAGAAAGAACGUUGGGUAUCAGCCAAAAAAAUCUAGCGUUUUUUCUAAAGCAGAUUUCCAUAAAUUUCUUACGGAAGCACCCGAUGACACGUACUUGGUGAGUCAUUAACUAACAAGAUUGAAACCGCUCAGAAGAUUUUAUGUGGAACUCCAGGGAACCCUUCAUCAUCUUCGUUGCCAUCAACAGAACCUGCUAUUUCAUACCGUACUAAUUCAAAUCCUCUAUCGACUGCUGAGUGUGAAGAAUCUGUAAACACCGUGUUUUCCAAUUGCCUGUCUAAUUCCCGAACUAAUUUUUGUAACUUGCAAAUUGUACAUUUAACUUCCACAUUAAUAAACAAUAAUUUGAUUUUUGACACA